rnacentral:lncRNA from 1 species
GAUAAUUCAGAAGAUGAUACCAAAUCGUUGUUUCUUAUCAUAAAGAUCAUUGGAGACCUUCUGCAAUUCCAAGGAUCUCAUAAACAUGAAUUUGACUCUCGCUGGAAAAGCUUUAAUUUAGUAAAGAAAUCAAUGGAAAAUCGGCCUUGGGUGGCCUGGAACUCAAAAUGAUCCAUCUACUUCUGAGAUUAAAGCUCCAUGGAAAAAAGCAACAUAUCAGAGCACUACUAAUUGACAGAGUGAUGCUGCAGCACGAGUUGCGAACACUAACUGUUGAGGGUUGUGAGUACAAAAAAAUACAUCAAGAUAUGAUCAGAGAUCUUCUUCGAUUAUCAACAAGUUCAUACAGUCAGGUCAGAAACAAAGCUCAGCAAACAUUUUUUGCUGCUUUAGGAGCCUAUAACUUCUGUUGCAGAGAUAUCAUCCCCUUGGUUUUGGAGUUCUUACGGCCUGAUAGAAAGGAUGUCACACAGCAGCAGUUCAAGGGCGCCCUAUAUUGUCUACUUGGAAAUCACAGUGGCGUGUGCCUGGCAAACCUUCAUGACUGGGACUGUAUUGUGCAGACUUGGCCAGCACUUGUUUCUUCAGGACUUAGCCAAGCAAUGUCACUGGAAAAGCCAUCAAUAGUGAGACUA